AGCUGUCUGAAACUUCAAGUCUCAUAUCAAUGAAAGCCGUAUUAUCCAAAUUUAGGGCUCAGCCAACAUGCCAAACAACAGCAAGUGGCAUUGCUUCUUUUACAAAAGCAAGAGAGUAAAUUACUAUAAUCACCCCUAAAAGAUUGUGCAGCCGGUUCAUAGUUUACUAUGGGUUUAUCUUUCCAUGAUAAAGAUGGCAUGCGUACUUUUACAUUAUAUAAUAUGACUUGAGACCAGUUAUAAGAAACUUAGACAGGCAGGUGAUAUAAGUGCUUGGUCAUAAUAUAGGAAUUAGGAUAGAAUUCUUGAUUAGUCCCUGUUCAAAUGUAGUAUAGAGUCCAAUGAGUCCCUCUCUCAACCCCAUUUUGAGAAAGUAUUCAAACAUCAUCUCAUGAACUAACACAGAUUUUCCAUCAUUGUCAGGGAAAGCAAAUUUCACUAGCAGGAGAUGCCAAAACUGUAAGCAAGAACUGCAACAGCAAUUAGCUUGAUUUAGAAAGUCUACACUAACUCAAUGAACCAUCAAAAGAAAAUUGAAAUUGCUCAAUCAACUCAGCAGUUUUUUUAUGCAAAUGCAUAAAUGGCCCAGCCUGUGUGAACCUGUAACAUUGUCGGUCUAAAACUGGGGUAAAGAAGAAUUGUGAUAGAUCGACGUAAUGCAAAAAACCAGUCAAUGAAUCAUGACAAGCUAUUGAGGAUUCAUAUAACUAAGCUUAACUAGUUUGGAAUUUUGGAAUUAAGGCUGUUGCAAGAGCAAGACUGACAAAAGAAUAUGGAUGAGACCGAGCAAGUUCAUGCCAAGUUUCCAGGCAAUGUACAUGCAUGUAGAGUGUUAACUUUUAUAUUUUUUUGAUUCAGGAAGUAGGGUGCUAAAUCCAGAAGAUUACAAUAAAGAAAAUCAAAUAUACAGGGAACAAAUGAAGUUGGAAAAGAAUGAGAAUACUAAUUGCCUUGGAAGCACCAAACCUUUCUUUCAGGAACACACCAGCUUCCAGCACCCAAAGUUCCAGGGUGAUAGCAUCAGUGAGGUCCGAAUAAACAAGUUUCGUAACU
rnacentral:lncRNA from 1 species